GGCCGCCUGGCGAAAUGGCAUCGCGUCUGACUACGAUCAAGCUGCUGCUUACGUUAUCAGGAGAUCGCAGGUUCGACCCCUGCGGUGGUCA
rnacentral:tRNA from 1 species